rnacentral:lncRNA from 1 species
UUAUCUAUCUCUCGGAUCAAUCACAACUUGGACGGAGAUGGUAAAAUCCUUUCUAGAUCGCUUCUUUCCUGCCUCUCGAACAACCGGUAUAAGAAGAAAAAUAUAGAGAAUUUGACAAAAUUGAAAUAAAACUUACAUCAACUCAAUUAGUUCUCGCAACACUUCACUAGAGUUUGCUAAAUUUGUUAACUAGGAAGAGAAAAUAAAUCAGCUACUCAUUGUGGACUUUAAUACAAAAUAAGUUUCGUAAGUGUUGACGAGGUGAAAGAGAAGAAGAGAAAGUGUAGAAAUUGUGUGUGCUGCUGUGUGCAGUGUCAGGAAGAAGAUGGAUGAUCCUGAUUCCACUUUGCCGCCGGCCUUUUAUAAUCCAAAAAGGCCAGGGUUUCUUAUUUCUUUGAUUGAGAUAUUUUCCAAUAAUUUCGGCUUACUCUCAGCUUUCCAAAAUAAUAUUUUCUUGAUUUUCAAUUCUCAUAUCUCGAUUGGAAUGAGAUCUGUUUUAGAUUUAAAAAAUACACAUUUUUCUUCAUUUUGGCUGUUGUGUGCGACACAAGCCUUUGUCAAGGCUUAUUUCAGUUGUACGCAGGGUCUGUGAGCCUAUAUGCUGCCU